AUUCAAAUAGUUUAUUUAAAAUAUUGACUUGUGGCGUCAAAGAUAUAGGAUAUAUUUUGGAUA
rnacentral:tRNA from 1 species